ACUAGGUGUCGGGGGUUACCCCCCUCGGUGCCGCAGCUAACGCAUUAAGUACUCCGCCUGGGGAGUACGCACGCAAGUGUGAAACUCAAAGGAAUUGACGGGGACCCGCACAAGUAGCGGAGCAUGUGGUUUAAUUCGAAGCAACGCGAAGAACCUUACCUAAGCUUGACAUCCCUUAGACCGGUGUUUAAUCACACCUUCCCUUCGGGGCUGAGGUGACAGGUGGUGCAUGGUUGUCGUCAGCUCGUGUCGUGAGAUGUUGGGUUAAGUCCCGCAACGAGCGCAACCCUUGUCUUUAGUUGCCAGCAUUCAGUUGGGCACUCUAGAGAGACUGCCAGGGAUAACCUGGAGGAAGGUGGGGAUGACGUCAAAUCAUCAUGCCCCUUAUGCUUAGGGCUACACACGUGCUACAAUGGGUGGUACAGAGGGUUGCCAAACCGUGAGGUGGAGCUAAUCCCUUAAAGCCAUUCUCAGUUCGGAUUGUAGGCUGAAACUCGCCUACAUGAAGCUGGAGUUACUAGUAAUCGCAGAUCAGAAUGCUGCGGUGAAUGCGUUCCCGGGUCUUGUACACACCGCCCGUCACACCAUGGGAGUCGGAAACACCCGAAGCCGAUUAUCCAACCGCAAGGAGGAAGUCGUCGAAGGUGGCGUCGAUAACUGGGGUGAAGUCGUAACAAGGUAGCCGUAUCG
rnacentral:rRNA from 1 species